CCUACGGGUGGCUGCAGUGGGGAAUAUUGGGCAAUGGGCGCAAGCCUGACCCAGCAACGCCGCGUGAAGGAAGAAGGCUUUCGGGUUGUAAACCUCUUUUGUUAGGGACGAAGCAAGUGACGGUACCUGACGAAUAAGCCUCGGCUAUCUAUGUGCCAGCAGCCGCGGUAAUACGUAGGUGGCAAGCGUUAUCCGGAUUUACUGGGUGUAAAGGGCGUGUAGGCGGGGAAGCAAGUCAGAUGUGAAAGCGAGGGGCUCAACCUGUGGAUUGGAUUUGACACUGUUUUUCUUGAGUGCUGGAGAGGGAAGCGGAAUUUGUGGUGUAGCGGUGAAAUGCAUAGAUAUACGGAGGAACACCGGUGGCGAAGGCGGAUUGCUGGGCAGUAACUGACACUGAGGCACGAAAGCGUGGGGAGCAAACAGGAUUAGAUACCCGGGUAGUC
rnacentral:rRNA from 1 species